ACGAACGCUGGCGGCGUGCUUAACCCAUGCAAGUCGAACGGAAAGGCCCUGCUUGCAGGGUACUCGAGUGGCGAACGGGUGAGUAACACGUGGGUGAUCUGCCCUGCACUUCGGGAUAAGCCUGGGAAACUGGGUCUAAUACCGGAUAGGAGCCAUUUUUAGUGUGAUGGUUGGAAAGUUUUUUCGGUGUAGGAUGAGCUCGCGGCCUAUCAGCUUGUUGGUGGGGUAAUGGCCUACCAAGGCGGCGACGGGUAGCCGGCCUGAGAGGGUGGACGGCCACAUUGGGACUGAGAUACGGCCCAGACUCCUACGGGAGGCAGCAGUGGGGAAUAUUGAACAAUGGGCGCAAGCCUGAUGAAGCGACGCCGCGGGGGGGAUGACGGCCUUCGGGUUGUAAACUCCUUUCGCUAGGGACGAAGCUUUUUGUGACGGUACCUAGAUAAGAAGCACCGGCUAACUACGUG
rnacentral:rRNA from 1 species